UACGACGUAUCAGAGUUUGAUCCUGGCUCGAGGACGAACGCUGGCGGCGUGCCUAACACAUGCAAGUCGAACGAGAAGUCUUUUAAUGAUUCCUUCGGGGAGAUUUAAAAGAUGGACAGUGGCGGACGGGCGAGUAACGCGUGAGUAACCUGCCCAUAAGUGAGGGAUAGCCCAUGGAAACGUGGAGUAAUACCUCAUAUUGUAUACUGGUCACAUGAUCUAUAUAUGAAAGAUUUAUCGCUUAUGGAUGGACUCGCGUCUGAUUAGAUAGUUGGUGAGGUAACGGCUCACCAAGUCGGCGAUCAGUAGCCGAACCGAGAGGUUGAUCGGCCGCAUUGGGACUGAGACACGGCCCAG
rnacentral:rRNA from 1 species